AUACGUAGGUGACAAGCGUUAUCCGGAUUUACUGGGCGUAAAGGGCGUGUAGGCGGUCUUGCAAGUCAGAAGUGAAAUUCCUGAGCUCAACUCGGGCGCUGCUUCUGAAACUGCAGGACUUGAGUGCUGGAGGGGAUAGCGGAAUUCCUAGUGGAGCGGUAAAAUGCGCUGAUAUUAGGAAGAACACCGGUGGCGAAGGCGGCUAUCUGGACAGUAUCUGACGCUGAGGCGCGAAAGCGUGGGGAGCAAAAAGGAUUAGAUACCCCGGUAGUCCUCGCCGUAAACGAGGAAUACUAGGUGUAGGGGGUAUCGACUCCCUCUGUGCCGCAGUUAACACAAUAAGUAUUCCGCCUGGGGAGUACGGCCGCAAGGUUGAAACUCAAAGGAAUUGACGGGG
rnacentral:rRNA from 1 species